UACGAAGGGGGCUAGCGUUGUUCGGAAUUACUGGGCGUAAAGCGCGCGCAGGCGGCUAUCCAAGUCAGUGGUGAAAGCCCGGAGCUCAACUCCGGAACUGCCAUUGAAACUGUUUAGCUUGAGGACGAGAGAGGUGAGUGGAAUUCCCAGUGUAGAGGUGAAAUUCGUAGAUAUUGGGAAGAACACCGGUGGCGAAGGCGGCUCACUGGCUCGUAUCUGACGCUCAGGCGCGACAGCGUGGGGAUCAAACAG
rnacentral:rRNA from 1 species